CAAUAGCGUAUAUUAAAGUUGUUGCAGUUAAAAAGCUCGUAGUUGGAUUUCUGUUUUGGAUGUCCGGUCCGCUCCCUCUGGGAGUGCGUACUUAUGGAUGUUCGAGGCAUUUUUUGUGAGGUCGCUUUUCUGCCAUUAAGUUGGUGGUUUUGCGGGCUUGCAUCGUUUACUGUGAAAAAAUUAGAGUGUUUAAAGCAGGCGUUUGCUCAUUUGAAUACAUUAGCAUGGAAUAAUAAGAUACGGCCUUGGUGGUCUAUUUUGUUGGUUUGCACACCAGGGUAAUGAUUAAUAGGGACAGUUGGGGGUAUUCAUAUUUCAGCGUCAGAGGUGGAAUUCUUGGAUCGCUGAAAGAUGAGCUUAGGCGAAAGCAUUUACCAAGGAUGUUUUCAUUAA
rnacentral:rRNA from 1 species